GACGAACGCUGGCGGCGUGGAUUAGGCAUGCAAGUCGAACGGUAGGGAGCCUUUCGGGGCUUCUGAGAGUGGCGAACGGGUGAGUAACGCGUAGGUGAUCUGCCUUCAGGCGGGGGACAACCCGGGGAAACCCGGGCUAAUACCGCAUGUGACCGCAAGGUUAAAGCCGGCCUCUGAAAAUGCUGGUGCCUGGAGAUGAGCCUGCGUCUGAUUAGCUAGUUGGUGGGGUAAUGGCCUACCGAGGCGAUGAUAAGUAGGCGGCUUUAACGAGUGGCCGCCCACACUGGGAUUGAGAUACGGCCCAGACUCCUACGGGAGGCAG
rnacentral:rRNA from 1 species